rnacentral:rRNA from 1 species
AGCUAAUAGAUACCCGGGUAGUCCUGGCCCUAAACGAUGUCUACUAGAUCGUGGCGGCACUGACGCCGUCAUGGUCGAAAGCAAAUGUGUUAAGUAGACCGCCUGGGAAGUACGGUCGCAAGGCUAAAACUCAAAGAAAUUGACGGGGGCUCACACAAGCGGUGGAGCAUGUGGUUCAAUUCGAAGCAACGCGAAGAACCUUACCUGGGCUUGACAUGCUAGGAUUAUCUUGAUGAAAGUCGAGUAGGCCCCGCAAGGGGUACAACUAGUACAGGUGCUGCAUGGCUGUCGUCAGCUCGUGUCGUGAGAUGUCGGGUUAAGUCCCUUAACGAGCGAAACCUUUGCCCUUAGUUGCCAUCGGGUUAUGCCGGGCACUCUAAGGGGGACUGCCGGUGUCAAACCGGAGGAAGGUGGAGAUGACGUCAAGUCCUCAUGGCCUUUAUGCCCAGGGCUACACACGUGCUACAAUGGCGUCCACAAAGCGAGCCGAGAGCGCAAGCUGGAGGAAAUCGCAG